UUUCUUGAUUAGUGGCGCACGGGUGAGUAAUGCAUAGAUAAUGUGCCCCUUAGUUCGGGAUAGCCACUGGAAACGGUGAUUAAUACCGGAUACUCCUUCUUGUUAUAAGACAAGUCGGGAAAGUUUUUCGCUAAGGGAUCAGUCUAUGUUCCAUCAGCUUGUUGGUGAGGUAAUGGCUCACCAAGGCUAUGACGGAUAUCUGGUUUGAGAGGAUGAUCAGACACACUGGAACUGAGACACGGUCCAGACUCCUACGGGAGGCAGCAGUGAGGAAUAUUGCACAAUGGAGGAAAUUCUGAUGCAGCAACGCCGCGUGGAGGAUGACGCAUUUCGGUGUGUAAACUCCUUUUAUUAGGGAAGAUAAUGACGGUACCUAAUGAAUAAGCACCGGCUAACUCCGUGCCAGCAGCCGCGGUAAUACGGAGGGUGCAAGCGUUACUCGGAAUCACUGGGCGUAAAGGGUGCGUAGGCUGGCUUUUAAGUCAGAUGUGAAAUCCAAUGGCUCAACCAUUGAACUGCAUUUGAAACUGAAAGCCUAGAGUUCAGAAGGGGCAGAUGGAAUUAGUGGUGUAGGGGUAAAAUCCGUAGAUAUCACUAGGAAUAUCAAAAGCGAAGGCGAUCUGCUGGGAUGA
rnacentral:rRNA from 1 species